rnacentral:rRNA from 1 species
AUCAAGUGUGACUACAUAAAUAACAAUCUCGCCGAGUGCUUCAACGCUUGGGUGCGAGAUAUCAAGGACUUGCCGAUUGUUCAGCUAGCUGACAAGAUUAGAGAGAUGAUUAUGGAACUAUUUAGAAAAAGAAGAAUGAUUGGAGAAAGAUUUACAGGGAUAAUACUUCCAUUUGUCAUACACCAACUAAAUGCAAAGACUCGAGGACUAGGUCAUCUCAAGGCUAAAGCAUCAGCUGAUUGGAGUGGGGAAGUGAAAAAUGCUAACAAAGAGGAUGAAAGACAUGUGGUCAAAACUCUCACACAUGAGUGUACAUGUCUGCAAUGGCAGCACACGGGCAAGCCUUGCGACCAUGCACUAGCCUUCAUAAAUGUCUUGCAAGCUCGCAACUUUGUUAACAUGGAGGACUAUGUACAUGAGUACUACUCAGUUAGCAGAUUUAGGGCAGCAUAUGAAGGUGUAAUUGAGCCCCUUACGGACAAGAAUCAAUGGCCACACGUGGACACAGGCUUUGUGUUGCGUCCACCAAUUCCAAUAGGCAAGAAGAAAGGUGCUGGAAGAACAAGAAAACAGAGGAUAAAGAGUUGGUGGGAAGGUGGAUCAAGGAAAGGAUCCUUGAACAAAUGCAAAAAAUGUGGGGAGAUAGGACAUAGAGAAGCUGGUUGUCCUCAAAAUGGAACAAAGAAAAGGUACAUAGUAGUACUUGUUGCUGUUUUCUAUCUAUAA